CCUACGGGUGGCAGCAGUGAGGAAUAUUGGUCAAUGGACGAGAGUCUGAACCAGCCAAGUAGCGUGAAGGAUGACUGCCCUAUGGGUUGUAAACUUCUUUUAUAUGGGAAUAAAAUGUUCCACGUGUGGGAUUUUGUAUGUACCAUAUGAAUAAGGAUCGGCUAACUCCGUGCCAGCAGCCGCGGUAAUACGGAGGAUCCGAGCGUUAUCCGGAUUUAUUGGGUUAAAAGGGAGAGUAGGUAGAUUGUUAAGUCAGUUGUGAAAGUUUGCGGCUCAACCGUAAAAUUGCAGUUGAAACUGGCAGUCUUGAGUACAGUAGAGGUGGGCGGAAUUCGUGGUGUAGCGGUGAAAUGCUUAGAUAUCACGAAGAACUCCGAUUGCGAAGGCAGUUCACUGGACUGCAACUGACACUGAGGCUCGAAAGUGUGGGUAUCAAACAGGAUUAGAUACCCCGGUAGUC
rnacentral:rRNA from 1 species